GCUAAACCAACAUUAAAAAGUAGGACACUGAAUGAAGUAAAGAGUUGCUGUAAAGAUAUUUGCGCUCUUAGAUGGAGUGACCAUAAAAGAUCAUUGCCCCCUGUGUGUCUGAGGACUACAAACUGCUUUUUCCUCAAGCCAGGAUGUGUGCUUCAUGUGGAAUCACAGUGCAACAUCUGCUGCCCCCUUGCGGAAAUGCUGAAAAUAUUUAAAGUUGGGAAUGUUGAAACUCAGUCUCAAGCCCUUGAGUACACUUUAUGCAAUUUUGCCACCAGACCGACAGUGCAAUGAAGGCCAAAGCAGGAGUAAUAAUGAGUAAUGGAGCAGAGUAAUGCCUGGUGCACACAAGACCACAACACAAUAAUAAGCAACUAUGCCUACACAGAUUUAAGAACUAGUGACUUUGUUCCAGGACAUCAUUUAACCUCAUGUUUUUCUAUUUUUUUUUUCUUCUUCUUCUUCUGUGAAACAAAAAUGUAGUCAACUGGCAGAAUGUACAAGCUGCUUUUUUCAGGGAAAGUGAAUAACUGUAUUGUCAAGCUCCAAGCAUCAUAAAG